rnacentral:rRNA from 1 species
CCUACGGGAGGCUGCAGUGGGGAAUAUUGGACAAUGGGCGAAAGCCUGAUCCAGCCAUGCCGCGUGUGUGAAGAAGGCCUUCGGGUUGUAAAGCACUUUCAGUGGGGAAGAAAGCCUUGGGGCUAAUACCCUCGAGGAAGGACAUCACCCACAGAAGAAGCACCGGCUAACUCCGUGCCAGCAGCCGCGGUAAUACGGAGGGUGCGAGCGUUAAUCGGAAUUACUGGGCGUAAAGCGCGCGUAGGCGGUCUGAUAAGCCGGUUGUGAAAGCCCCGGGCUCAACCUGGGAACGGCAUCCGGAACUGUCAGGCUAGAGUGCAGGAGAGGAAGGUAGAAUUCCCGGUGUAGCGGUGAAAUGCGUAGAGAUCGGGAGGAAUACCAGUGGCGAAGGCGGCCUUCUGGACUGACACUGACGCUGAGGUGCGAAAGCGUGGGUAGCAAACAGGAUUAGAUACCCGAGUAGU